rnacentral:rRNA from 1 species
GACGAACGCUGGCGGCGUGCUUAACACAUGCAAGUCGAACGGAAAGGCCCUGCUUUUGUGGGGUGCUCGGGUGGCGAACGGGUGAGUAACACGUGAGUAACCUGCCCUUGACUUUGGGAUAACUUCAGGAAACUGGGGCUAAUACCGGAUAGGAGCUCCUGCUGCAUGGUGGGGGUUGGAAAGUUUCGGCGGUUGGGGAUGGACUCGCGGCUUAUCAGCUUGUUGGUGGGGUAGUGGCUUACCAAGGCUUUGACGGGUAGCCGGCCUGAGAGGGUGACCGGCCACAUUGGGACUGAGAUACGGCCCAGACUCCUACGGGAGGCAGCAGUGGUGAAUAUUGCACAAUGGGCGGAAGCCUGAUGCAGCAACGCCGCGUGCGGGAUGACGGCCUUCGGGUUGUAAACCGCUUUCGCCUGUGACGAAGCGUGAGUGACGGUAAUGGGUAAAGAAGCACCGGCUAACUACGUG